CUCAGUUCGGAUUGUAGGCUGAAACUCGCCUACAUGAAGCUGGAGUUACUAGUAAUCGCAGAUCAGAAUGCUGCGGUGAAUGCGUUCCCGGGUCUUGUACACACCGCCCGUCACACCACGGAAGUUGGGGGCGCCCGAAGCCACUUAGCUAACCCUUUUGGGAAGCGAGUGUCGAAGGUGAAAUCAAUAACUGGGGUGAAGUCGUAACAAGGUACC
rnacentral:rRNA from 1 species